AUAUCAAUAAGCGGAGGAAAAGAAACCAACAGGGAUUGCCUCAGUAGCGGCGAGUGAAGCGGCAAAAGCUCAGAUUUGAAAUCCGGUGCGGUCCCCGUGCCUGAGUUGUAAUCUGGAGAGGAUGUUCCGGUUAGGCCAGCCGCCCAAGUUCCUUGGAACAGGACGUCUCAGAGGGUGAGAACCCCGUACCCGGUGGAUGGGUCGAGCCAUGUGGAACUCCUUCGACGAGUCGAGUUGUUUGGGAAUGCAGCUCAAACUGGGUGGUAAAUUCCAUCUAAAGCUAAAUAUUGGCGGGAGACCGAUAGCGCACAAGUAGAGUGAUCGAAAGAUGAAAAGCACUUUGAAAAGAGAGUUAAAAAGUACGUGAAAUUGUUGAAAGGGAAGCGCUUGCCAUCAGAACCGGCGUCGGUCGAUCAACGUUCCUUCUGGUUCGUGCACUCGGCCGGCUGCCGUGCCAGCAUCGGUUGCUGCGGCUGGACAAAGACGGUGGGAAGGUGGCUCCCCUCGGGGAGUGUUACAGCCCACCGUGCAAUGCUGCCAGCGGCGACCGAGGACCGCGCUCACGCAAGGAUGCUGGCCUAAUGGUUGUAAGCGA
rnacentral:rRNA from 1 species